rnacentral:rRNA from 1 species
AUUGAACGCUGGCGGCAGGCCUAACACAUGCAAGUCGAGCGGAUGAAGGGAGCUUGCUCCUGGAUUCAGCGGCGGACGGGUGAGUAAUGCCUAGGAAUCUGCCUGGUAGUGGGGGAUAACGUCCGGAAACGGGCGCUAAUACCGCAUACGUCCUGAGGGAGAAAGUGGGGGAUCUUCGGACCUCACGCUAUCAGAUGAGCCUAGGUCGGAUUAGCUAGUUGGUGGGGUAAAGGCCUACCAAGGCGACGAUCCGUAACUGGUCUGAGAGGAUGAUCAGUCACACUGGAACUGAGACACGGUCCAGACUCCUACGGGAGGCAGCAGUGGGGAAUAUUGGACAAAGGGCGAAAGCCUAAUCCAGCCAUGCCGCGUGUGUGAAGAAGGUCUUCGGAUUGUAAAGCACUUUAAGUUGGGAGGAAGGGCAGUAAGUUAAUACCUUGCUGUUUUGGCGUUACCAACAGAAUAAGCACCGGCUAACUUCGUG